AUUUAAAUGACCAUGAUCAGUCCCUUCAGAAUCAGUCCUUUUGACAGUCUCACUGAAGCCUGAAAGAACUAUUGAUCCCUCUGCAAUGAAGUCCACAAUCUUGCUAUCCUUCUUUUUGGUCUUCUGCUCGGUCAUUGUGAGCACGACCGCCAGUAAGCCUUGUCAUCGCUUUGGCGAGGCUUGUCCCAGGCCCCACAACAGAUUAAUUGCAUAUCGCAAGCAACCCAAUAACUAUAUGUUCACCAUGAUGUUUUGCGAAAUAUUUUGCCGCAAAAAUAAGGCUCAGUACAUGAUCUUUGGGUCGAACACUUGUGGGUGCUUUGAAAGUUGCAAGAACCCAACAAGGGUACGUUCUCGACGUGUGAUCGUCAUGUUCCCUCUGCAAGCCGACCCGGACAAGGUUUGUCAUUAAGAUUCAAUACACCCAACCAUCCAACUAACCAACCAACCAAUUAUCCAAGGACGUGGAACUCUCUGGACUUUGGGACUUACACUAUUACAGUACUUGAAUAAAUGAACUUGUCAUGGCACGUCUGAUAUUGUUGCGUUCAAUUUGAGAAUAAACACCUUCAGCCCAACAAUGGGUACAAAAAUGUACCGGGCCCUUGUUAUUGAA